UGCGAAUGGCUCAUUAUAUAAGUUAUCGUUUAUUUGAUAGUACCUUACUACUUGGAUAACCGUGGUAAUUCUAGAGCUAAUACAUGCUAAAAAUCCCGACUUCGGAAGGGAUGUAUUUAUUAGAUUAAAAACCAAUGCCCUCUGGGCUCCUUGGUGAUUCAUAAUAACUUUUCGAAUCGCAUGGCCUUGCGCCGGCGAUGGUUCAUUCAAAUUUCUUCCCUAUCAACUUUCGAUGUUUGGGUAUUGGCCAAACAUGGUCGCAACGGGUAACGGAGGGUUAGGGCUCGACCCCGGAGAAGGAGCCUGAGAAACGGCUACUACAUCCAAGGAAGGCAGCAGGCGCGCAAAUUACCCAAUCCCGAUUCGGGGAGGUAGUGACAAUAAAUACUGAUACAGGGCUCUUUUGGGUCUUGUAAUUGGAAUGAGUACAAUUUAAAUCCCUUAACGAGGAACAAUUGGAGGGCAAGUCUGGUGCCAGCAGCCGCGGUAAUUCCAGCUCCAAUAGCGUAUAUUAAAGUUGUUGUGGUUAAAAAGCUCGUAGUUGAACCUUGGGCCUGGCUGGCCGGUCCGCCUCACCGCGUGUACUGGUCCGGCCGGGCCUUUCCCUCUGUGGAACCUCAUGCCCUUCACUGGGUGUGGCGGGGAAACAGGACUUUUACUUUGAAAAAAUUAGAGUGCUCCAGGCAGGCCUAUGCUCGAAUACAUUAGCAUGGAAUAAUGAAAUAGGACGUGUGGUUCUAUUUUGUUGGUUUCUAGGACCGCCGUAAUGAUUAAUAGGGACAGUCGGGGGCAUCAGUAUUCAAUUGUCAGAGGUGAAAUUCUUGGAUUUAUUGAAGACUAACUACUGCGAAAGCAUUUGCCAAGGAUGUUUUCAUUAAUCAGGAACGAAAGUUAGGGGAUCGAAGACGAUCAGAUACCGUCGUAGUCUUAACCAUAAACUAUGCCGACUAGGGAUCGGACGAUGUUAUUUUUUGACGCGUUCGGCACCUUACGAGAAAUCAAAGUGCUUGGGC
rnacentral:rRNA from 1 species